ACCAGCAUUUCAAAAAUAUGGGGAGCUCCAGAUCUGACAUUCCCUCACCAAGCUCCCCUACUCUUUGCUGAGCUAUAUCCGAGAGGAAGAAGACAGAAGAGAGAACCUCAGUGCUCCCCCUGCUUCCCACAGCACGGAUGUGUACCCAGAGCCCUCAGCACCAUCACCUGUUGCUAAGGGAGACAAGAAUGAAGAGAAGCUUGAGAAACAUUGAAAAUGACAGUCUACCCAGGACAGCAAGCAUGCUGGGUGAUGCUGAUCCCUCCUCCACACCUGCUCUUUCCUGGAUCCAGCUCAAUGUUAACUGUCACCUUCAGGGAGAGCCCCCUGCACUGGAUCCCAGCCAUUACUGCUAAGACCAGUCCUGCCUUCAAAGAAUCACCGGCAAAGCUAAGGAACCCAGACAGAGCCAAGAACAAAGACCCGUGGCUGCUUUCUGAGUAGAACCACUUGGUUUGGCCCUA